rnacentral:tRNA from 1 species
GCCUGGGUGGCUCAGUCGGUUGAGCGUCCGACUUCGGCUCAGGUCAUGAUCUCACAGUUUGUGGGUUCGGACCCCGCGUCGGGCU